AACGUAGGAGGCGAGCGUUAUCCGGAUUUACUGGGCGUAAAGCGCGUGCAGGCGGCUUGGCGGGUUGGAUGUGAAAGCUCCCGGCUCAACUGGGAGAGGUCGUUCAAUACUGCCAGGCUAGAGGGUGGUAGAGGGAGGUGGAAUUCCGGGUGUAGUGGUGAAAUGCGUAGAUAUCCGGAGGAACACCAGUGGCGAAAGCGGCCCUCUGGACCAUUCCUGACGCUCAUACGCGAAAGCUAGGGUAG
rnacentral:rRNA from 1 species